UGGACGUGGCGGGCCGCCCUAAACAUGCAUUCGAGCGACCUUCGGGUGAGCGGGGCGGGUUAGUAACGCGUGGGAACAUACCCAACACUACGGAAUAGCCUUUGGAAACGAAGAGUAAUACCGUAUACGCCCUUCGGGGGAAAGAUUUAUCGGUGAUGGAUUGGCCCGCGUUAGAUUAGUUAGUUGGUGGGGUAACGGCCUACCAAGACGACGAUCUAUAGCUGGUUUGAGAGGAUGAUCAGCAACACUGGGACUGAGACACGGCCCAGACUCCUACGGGAGGCAGCAGUGGGGAAUCUUAGACAAUGGGCGAAAGCCUGAUCUAGCGAUGCCGCGUGAGUGACGAAGGCCCUAGGGUCGUAAAGCUCUUUCGCCAGGGAUGAUAAUGACAGUACCUGGUAAAGAAACCCCGGCUAACUCCGUGCCAGCAGCCGCGGUAAUACGGAGGGGGUUAGCGUUGUUCGGAAUUACUGGGCGUAAAGCGCGCGUAGGCGGACUAUUAAGUCAGGGGUGAAAUCCCGGGGCUCAACCCCGGAACUGCCUUUGAUACUGGUAGUCUAGAGUUCGAGAGAGGUGAGUGGAAUUCCAAGUGUAGAGGUGAAAUUCGUAGAUAUUUGGAGGAACACCAGUGGCGAAGGCGGCUCACUGGCUCGAUACUGACGCUGAGGUGCGAAAGUGUGGGGAGCAAACAGGAUUAGAUACCCUGGUAGUCCACACCGUAAACGAUGAAUGCCAGACGUCGGGGGGCUUGCCUUUCGGUGUCACACCUAACGGAUUAAGCAUUCCGCCUGGGGAGUACGGUCGCAAGAUUAAACUCAAUGUU
rnacentral:rRNA from 1 species